GAUGAACGCUGGCGGCGUGCCUAAUACAUGCAAGUCGAGCGAACAGACGAGGAUCUUGCUCCUCUGACGUGAGCGGCGGACGGGAGAGUAACACGGGGAUAACCUACCUAUCAGACUGGGAUAACUUCGGGAAACGGGAGAAAAUAGCGGAGAAUAUAAUGAACCGCAGGGGGGAAUAGAGAAAGACGGUUUUGGGGGCAGGACUAGAUGGAUCCGCGCCGCAUUGGCUGGUUGGUAGGGUAAAGGCUUACCAAGGCAACGAGGCGGAGCCGACCUGAGAGAGUGAUCGGCCACACUGGAACUGAGACACGGUCCAUACUCCUACGGGAGGCAGCAGUAUGGAACCUCCGGCAGUGGGCGAAAGCCUUACGGAGCAACGCCGCGUGAGUUAUGAAGGUCUUCGGAUCGUAAAACUCUGUUAUUAGGGAAGAACAAAUGUGUAAGUAACUAAGCACGUCUUGACGGUACCUAAUCAGAAAGCCCCGGCUAACUACGUG
rnacentral:rRNA from 1 species